GUGCUGGGAAUUGAACCUGGGUCCUCUAAGAAGCAGCAGUCAGUGCUCCUAACUGCUGAGCUAUCAUCUUUUCAGCCCCGUUUUUGUUUCGGGGUUUUCUUGGUUUUGGUCUCUGAAGCUUCCAUUUUCCUGAGUUUGAAAAUUAGUCCUCUUUGCACUUGAGCAUAGGAAAGCAAGUAAGGGAAGGUAACAUCUAAGCACAGACAGGAAAAUAGGCGAGUGAGUCACCUUUAACAGUGGUCCGGAAGCUUGGCCAUUUGAAGAGUAAAUGGUGAGUCUUUAUAUUGUUGGUGAGAGAAGGUUUUUCUAUCCUGGAACUCGCAGUGCAGGCCAAACUGGCCUUAAACUCAGAUCUGCUUCAGCCGUGGUUGCUGAGACUAAAGGUAUGAACCAAGCUCCCAAACUGUUUUUACUCGGAAAACUGUCAAACUUUUUUUUUUACCUUGAACAAUCUAGGAAGUUAUAUACAUAUACACCCGUAUACAUAUGGAUAGACAUGGCAGUUUCUGAGCAUCCACUUGUAUUUUAGAUUUGUUUGUUUGAGCUACCUUCUACAUUUGGCACCUGGUUCCUUUCCUUUAGAGUUUCAGUGACUUCUGCCAGCUACUCGCAGAUCCCAGCCUUCACUCUUCACCCUGGGUCUGGACUUCAUGCCCUGUUGCCUGCUUUAUGGCUCCUCCCACCACACAUCUGCCACCGCUGACUCCUGAUAACUAGUAUUUUUCUGGGCACUUGCAGCAUUAUCAAAGAUGCAGCAGCUCCAAGGUGAGGUAUCAAUAUUGUGCUUGCUUUAUAAACCUUGUCAUUGAGGUGUCUUAUUAGGUGAAGGUGCUUGCUGCCAAGCAUGAAGACCCGAGUCCAGUCAAGAUCCUACCCACCUGGUGGAAGGAAAGAAGCAACCCCACAGCUUCUGACUUCCAUACAGGCACUAAGGUGCGCACACAAUAUUUUUAAGGAAAAAAAUUGGUGCAGGGGUGAAAUGGUCAAGACGGGGUCCACAUGUGUCCAGCUGUCUGCAAGUUGUCGUGUCCUCCUAGCUGCUGCGCUGUCCCCUGAGUGCUGACACCUAUCUUGUCCCCGUUUCCAGUAGAGGCAGGAGAAUCGGGUGUUCAAUGUCAACCCUGACUACGUGAGACCUUGUCUCCAAAGACGACCCACACACACACACAACUCAGCAACCUGAUGACCUGUUCAUUGUGUAGAUGAGAAGACACACCCAGCAGCUUUCCCCGCGGGUGCAA